rnacentral:tRNA from 1 species
GCGAGGAUGGCGGAACUGGUAGACGCGCUAGCUUGAGGUGCUAGUCCACAUAAAAGCGUGGGUGGGGGUUCAAGUCCCCCUUCUCGCA